rnacentral:misc_RNA from 1 species
UUGUGGAGAAGGACGCCGAAGGUGGGGCUGAUGACUGGGGUGAAGUCGUAACAAGGUAGCCGUACCGGAAGGUGCGGCUGGAUCACCUCCUAACAGGGAGACAAUUAAUUGAUUGUGAUGUCUAAGUCAUUUAUUCUUAGGCCGCAAUCCUGUCACCUUAAGGUCGAUCGGUACCUCAGAUUUUUGAAUUAAUUUUAUAAUUAAUCCUUUAAUUUCAGUUCCUAAACUUGUCUAGGUCACACCCAACAAGGUUUCUCCUGGGCCAUUAGCUCAGGUGGUUAGAGCGCACCCCUGAUAAGGGUGAGGUCCCUGGUUCAAGUCCAGGAUGGCCCAUUCGUUGUUGGGGGUAUAGCUCAGUUGGUAGAGCGCCUGCUUUGCAAGCAGGAUGUCAGCGGUUCGAGUCCGCUUACCUCCACUGAAAUCCACCCUGGUAACUAAAUUCCGGAGAAAAUUUUGUAGAUGUGACUUAGAAUUGUCUAUUGAAGACCCUAGCUUCUUAUCAUCUUUUUUGAGUUGAUAAUAUGCUGGGCUCACAUGGAUUUAUCCAUGAGAAUUCAGUAGAACCUUGAAAACUGCAUAGAUUAGAAAGAAUAAAGCAUCUCAUGGAUGCAUAAUUCUUGUUUGAUUUUUUAGCUUAAAAACUAAUUGGUCAAAUAUAAGAAUUCAUGUUUAAUUCUUGAGUAAAAGCCGAGCACAAUUGAUUUUGUGAUUGUAUUAAGGUCAAGCUACAA